rnacentral:lncRNA from 1 species
GCUUUGGCUUGCCCUCCAUGGGCUGCACCCACUGUCCAACCAGUCCCAAUGAGAUGAACCAGGUACCUCAUUUGGAAAUGCAGAAAUCACCCAUCUUCUGUGUUGACCAUGCUGGGAGCUGCAGACUGCUGUUCCUAUUCAGCCAUCUUGGAACUGGCUCCCUACAUUUUUUUCUUUAUGCAACUGAAUGCUUAUGCUUACUCUAAGAUGAGAUAUCAUAGGCCAGUGUCUCCUUGAUUCUCUCCACUAAGAAUAACUAUAACUGCUGAAAAUAAUGCAAGAAGCACUCAACAAGAACUCUAAAGCAUAUAAAGAGAAAGGCAUACUGGUGAGGGAACCCAGAACCGGAAGAGCAAUCUACUGGCAGGGAAAACUUCAGUCCCCCUACCCCACCCAACAAAGGAAAGCAAUCCAGGCUUAAUUUCUUCCAGCCCUCAUCUUAACAGCAGAGAGC